rnacentral:rRNA from 1 species
CAAUAGCGUAUAUUAAAGUUGUUGCGGUUAAAAAGCUCGUAGUUGGAUUUCUGCCGAGGACGACCGGUCCGCCCUCUGGGUGAGUAUCUGGCUCGGCCUGGGCAUCUUCUUGGAGAACGUAGCUGCACUUGACUGUGUGGUGCGGUAUCCAGGACUUUUACUUUGAGGAAAUUAGAGUGUUUCAAGCAGGCAUACGCCUUGAAUACAUUAGCAUGGAAUAAUGGAAUAGGACUUUGGUGCUAUUUUGUUGGUUUAUGGGACCGAAGUAAUGAUUAAUAGGGACAGUUGGGGGUAUUCGUAUUCCACGGUCAGAGGUGAAAUUCUUAGAUUCAUGGAAGACGAACUACUGCGAAAGCAUUUACCAAGGAUGUUUUCAUUAAUCAAGAACGAAAGUUAGGGGAUCGAAGAUGAUCAGAUACCAU